GUCCUUUAGAAUUUAUUAUUUAAGGUCUAACCUGCCCACUGAAAUAUUUUAAAUGGCCGCAGUAAAUUGACUGUGCAAAGGUAGCAUAAUCAUUAGUUUUUUAAUUAAAAGCUUGAAUGAAUGGUUUGACGAAAUAAAAUCUGUCUCUAAAUAAUAAAAAGAAUUUAAUUUUUAAGUUAAAAAGCUUAAAUUAAAAUAAAAGACGAGAAGACCCUAUAGAUCUUUAUAUUAAGUUUAAUAAUUUUAUUUAAGAUUUUUUUUAUGAUUAUUAUUUUUAUUAUUGUAUUGGGGUAAUAGAAAGAUUAAUAAAAUUCUUUUUAAAUUGUUACAAUAAUUAUUGUUUAUUUGAUCCUUAAUUUAAGAUAAUAAGAUUAAGAUACCUUAGGGAUAACAGCGUAAUUUUUUUAAAGAGUUCAUAUCGAUAAAAAAGUUUACGACCUCGAUGUUGGAUUAAAAAUUAUUCCAGGUGCAGAAGUUUGGAAAUUUUGGUCUGUUCGACCAUUAAAUUUUUACAUGAUCUGAGUUCAGACCGGCGUAAGCCAGGUCGGUUUCUAUCUUUAUUUAAUUAUUAUAUUUUAGUACGAAAGGACCAAAUAUAUAAUAUAUUAAUAUUUGUUUUUUGAAUAA
rnacentral:rRNA from 1 species